rnacentral:rRNA from 1 species
GAGUAAUAUAUAGGUAACGUGCCCUAGAGAGGGGGAUAACAUUUGGAAACGAAUGCUAAUACCCCAUAUGCCUUUAAGUCUUAAGACUGCAAGGGAAAUAUUUAUAGCUCUAGGAUCGGCCUGUACGGUAUCAGUUUGUUGGUGAGGUAAUGGCUCACCAAGACUAUGACGCCUAACUGGUUUGAGAGGAUGAUCAGUCACACUGGAACUGAGACACGGUCCAG